rnacentral:rRNA from 1 species
GACGAACGCUGGCGGCGUGCUUAACACAUGCAAGUCGAACGGUAAGGCCCUUUCGGGGGUAGACGCGUGGCGAACGGGUGAGUAACACGCGGGUGAUCUUCCCUGCACUUUGGGUUAAGCCUGGGAAACUGGGUCUAAUACCGGAUAGGACUACGCGAUGCAUGUCUUGUGGUGGUAGGCUUUUGCGGGGUGGGAUGGGCCCGCGGCCUAUUAGCUUGUUGGUGGGGUGAUGGCCUACCAAGGCGACGACGGGUAGCCGGCCUGAGAGGGUGUCCGGCCACACUGGGACUGAGAUACGGCCCAGACUCCUACGGGAGGCAGCAGUGGGGAAUAUUGCACAAUGGGCGCAAGCCUGAUGCAGCGACGCCGCGUGGGGGAUGACGGCCUUCGGGUUGUAAACCGCUUUCAGCACAGACGAAGCGUAAGUGACGGUAUGUGCAGAAGAAGCACCGGCCAACUACGUG